rfam:Myotis lucifugus cont2.65473, whole genome shotgun sequence.
GGCCAGGUAGUUUAGUUAGUUAGAGCGUUGGCCCGAUAUGCCAAGGUUGUGGGUUCAAUCCCCAGUCAGGGCA